rnacentral:rRNA from 1 species
UACGUAGGGGGCUAGCGUUGUCCGGAAUCAUUGGGCGUCAAGCGCGUGUAGGCGGUUCGGUAAGUCCGCUGUGAAAGUCGGGGGCUCAACCCUCGGAAGCCGGUGGAUACUGUCGAGCUAGAGUACGGAAGAGGCGAGUGGAAUUCCUGGUGUAGCGGUGAAAUGCGCAGAUAUCAGGAGGAACACCAAUUGCGAAGGCAGCUCGCUGGGACGUUACUGACGCUGAGACGCGAAAGCGUGGGGAGCAAACAGG